rnacentral:rRNA from 1 species
UACGUAGGGCGCAAGCGUUGUCCGGAAUCAUUGGGCGUAAAGAGCUCGUAGGCGGCUUGUCGCGUCUGCUGUGAAAUCCCGGGGCUCAACCCCGGGCGUGCAGUGGAUACGGGCAGGCUAGAGGCAGGCAGGGAAGAACGGAAUUCCCGGUGUAGUGGUGAAAUGCGUAGAUAUCGGGAGGAACACCAGUGGCGAAGGCGGCUUUCUGGUCUGCUCUUGACGCUGAGGCGCGAAAGCUAGGGUAGCAAACGGG